rnacentral:lncRNA from 1 species
AACUUUUGUGGAUAUGGUUGAACCUUUAGGAUAUGAAUUGAAAUUUUGGUUUAUGUAUUGGAAUCUUAGUUUAUAAAUUAAAAUUUUAGGAUUUUACUUCAACUUUUGUGGAUAUGAGUUGAACCUUUAGGAUAUGAAUUGAAAUUUUGGUUUAUGUAUUGGAAUCUUAGUUUAUAAAUUGAAAUUUUUGGAUAUGACUUGAACUUUUGUGGAUAUGAGUUGAACCUUUAGGAUAUGAAUUGAAAUUUUGGUUUAUGUCUUGGAAUUUUAGUUUAUAAAUUAAAGUUUUAUGAUUUGAUUUGAACUUUUGUGGAUAUGAGUUGGACCUUUAGUAUAUGAACUGAAAUUUUGGUUUUUGUAUUGGAAUUUUAGUUUAUAAAUUGAAAUUUUAGGAUUUGACUUGAACUUUUGUGGAUUUCAGUUGAACCUUUAGGAUAUGAAUUGAAAUUUUGGUUUAUGUAUUGAAAUUUUAGUUUAUAAAUUAAAAUUUUAGGAUUUGACUUGAACUUUUGUGGAUAUGAGUUGAACCUUUAGGAUAUAAAUGAAAUUUUGGUUUAUGUAUUGGAAUUUUAGUUUAUAAAUUAAAAUUUUAGUAUUUGACUUGAACUUUUAUGGAUAUGAGUUGAACAUUUAGGAUAUAAAUUGAAAUUUUGGUUUGUGUAUUGGAAUUUU